CUUUGAUUACCACUUGAUGAGAACAAGGGUGGCCCGAUCUUCCGAAAGGUUUUGAUAACUCUCGAUUUGGUGGAGACGAGACACAAUUCGAUCCGGCUUCCGAACAACACGAUCUGAAACCCUGCAAUUUUUUUUCGAUAUUUUUCUUUUAGUUACGAGCACCAAAGGAGUAACCACAGAAAAUUUGAGCUUAAACAAGUGAAACACAUGGCCUGCGGAAUUUUUUGAAGAUUGUGAAAAAUGUGAAAAAAACUUGACGAGGUGAAAACUCAAAAUUUGGAGGUGAAUUUGGAGGUUCUAUAAUUUUCAAACCCACCAAUGGAGGGGACAGACAUAUCUGAAAUUUUUUUUUGAUCAAUUUUGAUAUAUGGAACGUUGAAAUCGGAGUUCGUAUGCGAAAGUUAUGGCUAUUUUACGAACGGACUCCAAAUUAGAGGACAAAAUGGUCCGAAAGUAGGAAAAAUUCGCGGCAGUGGCUAGAAAUUGAUGGAAACGGUGGGAAAAAACACACAAACUGGACUCUAACAAGACCUAACCAGCAACAAGACCUCGACCAGGACACAAACUCAACACUGUGGACUGUCAAACUGAAAUAUACAAAGGCUAUGGCGCGGAAGGGUUGUAGGACAAUAAAACGAUAUGACACUAGACUUAUGGGACAAACACAAGAACACUCAAAAGUAAGGGUAGAUGUGAACCUAAUGGUAUACCUAAAGCUUUGAUUACCACAUGAUGAGAAUAAGGGUGAUCCGAUCUUCUGAAAGGUUCUGGUAACUCUCAAUUUGGUGGAGACGAGACACAAAUCGAUACGGCUUCCGAAUAACAUGAUCCGAAACGCUACAAAAUUUUUUUAUUUUUUUGAUAUUUUACUUUUAGUUAGGAGCACCAAAGGAGUAACCAUAGAAAAUUUGAGAAUAAACAAGUGAAAUACAUGGCCUGCGAAAUUUUCUGAAGAUUGUGAAAAAUGUGAAACAAACUUCAUGAGGUGAAAACUCAAACUUCGGAGGUGAAUUUGGAGGUUCUAAAAUUUUCAAACCCGCCAACGGAAGGGACAGACAGAUCCAAAAUUUUUUUCUGAUCGAUUUUGAUAUAUGGAAUGUUGAAAUCGGAGUUUGUAUGUGAAUGUUAUGGGUAUUUUACGAAUAGACUCCGAAUUAGAGGACAAAACGGUCUGAAAGUGGGAAAAAAUUGCGGCAGUGGCUAGAAUUUGAUGGAAACUGUGGGGAAAAACACAUGAACUGGACUCUAACAAGGCUUAACCAGCAACAAGACCUCGACGAGGACACAAACUCAACACUGCGGACUCUAAAACUAAAAUAUGCAAAGGCUAUGACGCGGAAGGGUUGUAGGACAAGAAAACAAUAUGACACAGGACUUAUGGGACGAACCAAGAACACUCGAAACUAAAGGUAGAUGUGAACCUAACGGUAUACCUAAAGCUUUGAUUUCCACAUAUGAGAACAAGGGUGACCCGAUCUUCUGAAGUUCUGGUAACUCUCGAUUUGGUGGAGACGAGACACAAAUCGAUCCGUCUUCCGAACAACACGAUCCGAAACCCUGCAAUUUUUUUUUGAUAUUUUUCUUUUAGUUAGAGCACCAAAGGAGUGACCACAGAAAAUUUGAGCUUAAACUAGUGAAAGACAUGGCCUACGAAAAUUUCUGAAAAUUAUGUAAAAUGUGAAAAAAAAACAUCACGAGGUGAAAACUCAAACUUCAGAGGUGAAUUUGGAGGUUCUAAAGUUUUCAAACUCGCCAAUGGAGGGGACAGAGAGAUCCGAAAUUUUUUUUCGAUCGAUUUUGAUAUAUUGAACGUUGAAAUCAGAGCUCGUAUGCGAAAGUUAUGGCUAUUUUACAAACGGACUCCAAAUUAGAGGACAAAAUGGUCCGAAAGUGGAAAAAAUUUGCGGCGGUGGCUAGAAAUUGAUGGAAACGGUGGGGGAAAAUACAUGAACUGGACUCUAAUAAGACCUAACCAGCAAUAAGACCUCGACGAGGACACAAACUCAACACUGCGGACUCUGAAACUGAAAUAUGCAAAGGCUAUGACGUGGAAGGGUUGUAGGACAAGAAAACGAUAUGACACUGCACUUAUGGGACGAACACAAGAACACUCAAAACUAAGGGUAGAUGUGAACCUAAUGGUAUACCUAAAGCUUUGAUUCCCACAUGAUGAGAACAACGGUGACCCGAUCUUCUAAAAGGUUCUGGUAACUCUCGAUUUGGUGGAGACGAGACACGAAUCGAUCCGGCUUCCGAACAACACGAUCCGAAACCCUGCAAUUUUUUUUAUUUUUUUGAUAUUUUUCUUUUAGUUAGAGCACCAAAGGAGUAACCACAGAAAAUUUGAGCUUAAACCAGUGAAAGACAUGGCCUACGAAAAUUUCUGAAAAUUGUGAAAAAUGUGAAAAAAACAUCACGAGGUGAAAACUCAAACUUCAGUUGUGAAUUUGGAGGUGCUAAAAUUUUCAAACCAGCCAAGGGAGGGGAGACAGAUCCGAAAUUUUUUUCUGAUCGAUUUUGAAAUAUGGAACAUUGAAAUCGGAGCUCGUAUGCGAAAGUUAUGGCUAUUUUACGAACGGACUCCAAAUUCGAGGACAAAACGGUGCGAAAGUGGGCAAAAUUUACGGUGGUGGCUAGAAAUUGAUGGAAACGGUGGGGGAAAAUAUAUGAACUGGACUCUAACAAGACCUAACCAGCAACAAGACCUCGACGAGGACACAAACUCAACACUGCGGACUCUAAAACUGAAAUAUGCAAAGGCUAUGGCGUGGAAGGGUUGUAGGACAGAAAAACGAUAUGACACUGGACUUAUGGGACGAACACAAGAACACUCGAAACUAAGGGUAGAUUUGAACCUAAUGGUAUAUCUAAAUCUUUGAUUUCCACAUGAUGAGAACAAGGGUGACCCAAUCUUCUGAAAGGUUCUGGUAACUCUCGAUUUGGUGGAGACGAGACACAAAUCGAUCCGGGUUCCGAACAACACGAUCCGAAACCCUACAAUUUUUUUUAUUUUUUUGAUAUUUUUCUUUUAGUUAGAGCACCAAUGGAGUAACCACAGAAAAUUUGAGCUUAAACCAGUGAAAAACAUGGCCUACGAAAAUUUCUGAAAAUUGUGAAAAAUGUGAAAAAAACAUCACGAGGUGAAAACUCAAACUUCGGAGGUGAAUUUGGAGGUUCUAACUUUUCAAACCUACCAAUGGAGUGACAAACAGAUCCAAAAUUUUUUUCUGAUCGAUUUUGAUAUAUGGAACGUUGUAAAUGGAGCUCGUAUGUGAAAGUUAUGGCUAUUUUACGAACGGACUCCAAGUUAGAGGACAAAACGGUCCGAAAGUGGGAAAAAUUUGCGGUGGUGGCUAGAAAUUGAUGGAAACGGUGGGGGAAAAUACAUGAACUGGACUCUAACAAGACCUAACCAGCAACAAGACCUCGACAAGGACACAAACUCAACACUGCGGACUCUGAAACUGAAAUAUGCAAAGGCUAUGGCGCGGAAGGGUUGUAGGACAGGAAAACCAUAUGACACUGGACUUAUGGGACGAACACAAGAACACUCGAAACUAAGGGUAGAUUUGAACCUAACGGUAUACCUAAAGCUUUGAUUACCACAUGAUGAGAACAAGGGUGACCCGAUCUUCUGAAAGGUUCUCGUAACUCUCGAUUUGGUGGAGACGAGACACAAUUUAAUCCGGCUUUCGAACAACACGAUCCAAAACCCUGCAAAUUUUUUUAUUUUUUUGAUAUUUUUCUUAUAGUUAGGAGCACCAAAGGAGUAACCACACAAUAUUUGAGCUUAAACCAGUGAAAUUUUCUCAAAGUUGUGAAAAUGUGAAAAAAAACUUCAUGAGGUGAAAACUCAAAUUUCGGAGGUGAAUUUGGAGGUUCCAAAAUUUUCAAACCUGCCAAUGGAGUGGACAGACAGAUCCGAAAUUUUUUUCUGAUCAAUUUUGAUAUAUGGAACGUUGAAAUCGGAGCUCGUAUGCGAAAGUUAUGGCUAUUUUACAAACGGACUCCAAAUUAGAGGACAAAAUGGUCGAAAAGUGGGAAAAAUUUGCGACGGUGGCUAGAUAUUGAUGGAAACGGUGCUGGAAAACACACGAACUGGACUCUAACAAGACCUAACAAGCAACAAGACCUCGACGAGGACACAAACUCAACACUGCGGACUCUGAAACUGAAAUAUGCAAAGGCUAUGACACGGAAGGGUUGUAGGACAAGAAAACGAUAUGACACUGCACUUAUUGGACGAACACAAGAACACUUGAAACUAAGGGCAGAUGUGAACCUAAUGGUAUACCUAAAGCUUUUAUUUCCACAUGAUGAGAACAAGGGUGACCCGAUCUUCUGAAAGGUUCUGGUAACUCUCGAUUUGGUGGAGACAAGACAUAAAUCGAUCCGGCUUCCGAACAACACGAUCCGAAAACCGGUAAUUUUUUUAUUUUUUGAUAUUUUCUUUUAGUUAGAGCACCAGAGGAGUAACCACAGAAAAUUUGAGCUUAAACUAGUGAAAGACAUGGCCUACGAAAAUUUCUGAAAAUUGUGAAAAAUGUGAAAAAAACAUCACGAGGUGAAAACUCAAACUUCAGAGGUGAAUUUGGAGGUUCUAAAAUUUUCAAACUCGCCAAUGGAGGGGACAGACAGAUCUCAAAAUUUUUUCUGAUCAAUUUUGAUAUAUGGAACGUUGAAAUCGGAGUUCGUAUGCGAAAGUUAUGGCUAUUUUACGAACGGACUCCAAAUUAGAGGGCAAAAUGGUCCGAAAGUAGGAAAAAUUCGCGGCGGUGGCUAGAAAUUGAUGGAAACGGUGGGGAAAAACACACAAACUGGACUCUAACAAGACCUAACCAGCAACAAGACCUCGACCAGGACACAAACUCAACACUGUGUACUGUGAAACUGAAAUAUGCAAAGGCUAUGGCGCGGAAGGGUUGUAGGACAAGAAAACGAUAUGACACUGGACUUAUGGGACAGACACAAGAACACUGAAAAGUAAGGGUAGAUGUGAACCUAAUGGUAUACCUAAAGCUUUGAUUACUAUAUGAUGAGAAUAAGGGUGACCCGAUCUUCUAAAAGGUUCUGGUAACUCUCGAUUUGGUUAAGAUGAGACACAAAUCGAUACGGCUUCCGAAUAACAUGAUCCGAAACGCUGCAAAAUUUUUUUUAUUUUUUUGAUAUUUUACUUUUAGUUAGGAGCACCAAAGGAGUAACCAUAGAAAAUUUGAGCAUAAACAAAUCAAACACAUGGCCUGCGGAAUUUUCUGAAGACUGUGAAAAAUGUGAAAAAAACUUCAUGAGGUAAAAACUCAAACUUCGGAGGUGAAUUUGGAGGUUCUAAAAUUUUUAAACUCGCCAAUGGACGGGACAGACAGAUCCAAGAAUUUUUUCUAAUCGAUUUUGAUAUAUGGAACGUUGAAAUCAGAGUUUGUAUGCGAAAGUUAUGUCUAUUUUACGAACAGACUCCAAAUUAGAGGACAAAACGGUCCGAAAGUGGGAAAAAUUUGCGGUGGUGGCUAGAAAUUGAUGGAAACGGUGGGGAAAAAUACAUGAACUGAACUCUAACAAGACCUACCCUACAAUAACACCUCGACGAGGACACAAACUCAACACUGCGGACUCUGAAACUGAAAUAUGCAAAGGCUAUGACGCGGAAGGGUUGUAGGACAAGAAAACGAUAUGACACUGGACUUAUGGGACGAACACAAGAACACUCGAAACUAAUGGUAGAUGUGAACCUAAUGGUAUACCUAAAGCUUUGAUUAUCACUUGAUGGGAACAAGGGUGGCCCGAUCUUCCAAAAUGUUCUGGUAACUCUCGAUUUGGUGGAGACGAGACACAAAUCGAUCCGGCUUUCGAAUAACAUGAUCCAAAACCCUGCGUUUUUUAUUUUUUUGAUAUUUUUCUUUUAGUCAGGAGCACCAAAGGAGUAACCAUAGAAAAUGAGCUUAAACAAGUAAAAGACAUGGCCUGCGGACUUUUCUGAAGAUUGUGAAAAAUGUGAAAAAACAUCACGAGGUGAAAACUCAAACUUCAGAAGUGAAUUUGGAGGUACUAAAAUUUUCAAACCCGCCAAUGGAGGGGACAGACAGAUCCAAAAAAUUUUUCUGAUCGAUUUUGAUGUAUGGAAUGUUGAAAUCGGAGUUUGUAUGCGAAAGUUAUGGCUAUUUUACAAACGGACUCCGAAUUAGAGGACAAAACGGCGGUGCCUAGAAAUUGAUGGAAACGGUGGGGAAAAAGACAUGAACUGGACUCUAACAAGACUUAACCAGCAAGAAGACCUCGACCAGGACACAAACUCAACACUGCGGACUCUAAAACUGAAUUAUGCAAAGGCUAUGGCGCGGAAGGGUUGUAGGACAAGAAAAUGAUAUAGCACUGGACUUAUAGGGACAAACACGAGAACACUCGAAACUAAGGGUAGAUGUGAACCUAAUGGUAUACCUAAAGCUUUGAUUUCCACAUGAUGAGAACAAGGGUGACCCGAUCUUCUGAAAGGUUCUGGUAACUCUCGAUUUGGUGGAGACGAGACACAAAUCGAUCCGGCUUCCGAACAACACGAUCCGAAACCCUGCAAUUGUUUUAUUUUUUUUGAUAUUUUUCUUUUAGUUAGAGCACCAAAGGAGUAACCACAGAAAAUUUGAGCUUAAACCAGUGAAAGACAAGGUCUACGAAAAUUUCUGAAAAUUGUGAAAAAUGUGAAAAAAACAUCAUGAGGUGAAAACUCAAACUUCAGAGGUGAAUUUGGAGGUCCUAAAAUUUUCAAACCAGCCAAUGGAGGGGACAGACAGAUCUGAAAUUUUUUUCUGAUCGAUUUUGAUAUAUGGAACAUUGAAAUCGGAGCUCGUAUUCGAAUGAUAUGGCUAUUUUACGAACGGACUCCAAAUUAGAUGACAAAACGGUCCGAAAGUGGGAAAAAUUUGCGGUGGUGGCUAGAAAUUGAUGAAAACGGUGGGGGAAAAUACAUGAACUGGACUCUAACAAGACCUAACCAGCAACAAGACCUCGACGAGGACACAAACUCAAAACUGCGGACACUAAAACUGAAAUAUGCAAAGGCUAUGACGCGGAAGGGUUGUAGGACAAGAAAACGAUAUGACACUGGACUUAUGGGACAAACCAAGAACACUCAAAACUAAGGGUAGAUGUGAACCUAACGGUAUACCGAAAGUUUUGAUUUCCACAUAUGAGAACAAGGGUGACCCGAUCUUCUGAAGUUCUGGUAACUCUCGAUUUGGUGGAGACGAGACACAAAUCGAUCCGGCUUCCGAACAACACGAUCCGAAAACCUGUAAUUUUUUUUUGAUAUUUUUCUUUUAGUUAGAGCACCAAAGGAGUGACCACAGAAAAUUUGAGCUUAAACUAGUGAAAGACAUGGCCUACGAAAAUUUCUAAAAAUUGUGAAGAAUGUGAAAAAAAAACAUCACGAGGUGAAAACUCAAACUUCAGAGGUGAAUUUGGAGGUUCUAAGCUUUUCAAACUUGCCAAUGGAGGGGACAGGGAGAUCUGAAAUUUUUUUCUGAUCGAUUUCGAUAUAUGGAACAUUGAAAUCAGAGCUCGUAUGUGACAGUUAUGGCUAUUUUACGAACGGACUCCAAAUUAGAGGACAAAAUUGUUCGAAAGUGGGAAAAAUUUGCGGCGGUGGCUAGAAAUUAAUGGAAACGGUGGGGGAAAAUACAUGAACUGGACUCUAACAAGACCUAACCAGCAAUAAGACCUCGACGAGGACACAAACUCAACACUGCGGACUCUGAAACUGAAAUAUGCACAGGCCAUGACGUGGAAGGGUUGUAGGACAAGAAAACGAUAUGACACUACACUUAUGGGACGAACACAAGAACACUCGAAACUAAGGGUAGAUGUGAACCUAAUGGUAUCCCUAAAGCUUUGAUUUCCACAUGAUGAGAACAAGGGUGACCCGAUCUUCUGAAAGGUUCUGGUAACUCUCGAUUUGGUGGAGACGAGACACAAAUCGAUCCGGCUUCCGAACAACACGAUCCGAAAACCUGUAAUUUUUUUUGAUAUUUUUCUUUUAGUUAGAGCACCAAAGGAGUGACCACAGAAAAUUUGAGCUUAAACUAGUGAAAGACAUGGCCUACGAAAAUUUCUGAAAAUUGUGAAGAAUGUGAAAAAAAAACAUCACGAGGUGAAAACUGAAACUUCAGAAGUGAAUUUGGAGGUUCUAAGGUUUUCAAACUUGCCAAUGGAGGGGACAGGGAGAUCUGAAAUUUUUUUCUGAUCGAUUUCGAUAUAUGGAACAUUGAAAUCAGAGCUCGUAUGUGACAGUUAUGGCUAUUUUACGAACGGACUCCAAAUUAGAGGACAAAAUUGUCCGAAAGUGGGAAAAAUUUGCGGCGGUGGCUAGAAAUUGAUGGAAACGGUGGGGGAAAAUACAUGAACUGUUCUCUAACAAGACCUAACCAGCAAUAAGACCUCGACGAGGACACGAACUCAACACUGCGGACUCUGAAACUGAAAUAUGCAAAGGCUAUGACACGGAAGCGUUGUAGGACAAGAAAACGAUAUGACACUGCACUUAUGGGACGAACACAAGAACACUCAAAACUAAGGGUAGAUGUGAACAUAAUGGUAUACCUAAAGCUUUGAUUUCCACAAGAUAAGAACAAGGGUGACCGGAUCUUCUGAAAGGUUCUGGUAACUCUCGAUUUGGUGGAGACGAGACACAAAUCCAUCCGGCUUCCGAACAACAUGAUCCGAAACCGUGCAAUUUUUUUUAUUUUUUUGAUAUUUUUCUUUUAGUUAGAGCACCAAACGAGUAACCAUAGAAAAUUUGAGCUUAAACCAGUGAAAGACAUGGCCUACGAAAAUUUCUGAAAAUUGUGAAAAAUGUGAAAAAAACAUCACGAGGUGAAAACUCAAACUUCAGAGGUGAAUUUGGAUGUUCUAAAAUUUCCAAUCCCGCCAAUGGAGGAAACAGACAGAUCCGAAAUUUUUUUCUGAUCGAUUUUGAUAUAUGGAACGUUGAAAUCGGAGCUCGUAUGCGAAAGUUAUGACUAUUUUCCGAACGGACUCCAAAUUAGAGGACAAAACGGUCCGAAAGUGGGAAAAAUUUGCGGCGGUGGCUUGAAAUUUAUGGAAACGGUGGGGGAAAAUACAUGAAUUGGACUCUAACAAGACCUAACCAGCAACAAGACAUCGACAAGGACACAAACUCAACACUGCAGACUCUGAAACUUAAAUAUGCAAAGGCUAUGGCGCGGAAGGGUUGUAGGACAAGAAAACGAUAUGACACUGGACUUAUGGGACGAACACAAGAACACUCGAAACUAAGUGUAGAUUUAAACCUAAUGGUAUACCUAAAGCUUUGAUUACCACAUGAUGAGAACAAGGGUGACCCGAUCUUCUAAAAGGUUCUGGUAACUCAAGAUUUGGUGCAGACGAGACACAAAUUGAUCCGGCUUCCGAACAACAUGAUCCGAAAUCCUGCAAUUUCUUUUAGUUAGGAGCACCCAAGGAGUAACCAUAGAAAUUUUGAGCUUAAACCAGUGAAAGACAUGGCCUACGAAAAUUUCUGAAAAUUGUGAAAAAUGUGAAAAAAACUUCACGAGGUGAAAACUCAAACUUCGGACGUGAAUUUGGAGUUUUCUAAAAUUUUCAAACCCGCCAAUAGAAGGGACACACAGAUCCAAAAUUUUUUUUAAUCGAUUUUGAUAUAUGAAACGUUGAAAUUGAAGUUUUUAUGCAAAAGUUAUGGCUAUUUUAUUAAAGGACUCCGAAUUAGAGGACAAAACGAUCCGAAAGUGGAAAAAAUUUACGGCAGGUGCUAGAAAUUGAUGGAUACGGUGGGGAAAAACACACAAACUGGACUCUAACAAGACCUAACCAGCAACAAAACCUCGACGAGGACACAAACUCAACACUGCGGACUCUGAAACUGAAAUAUGCAAAGGCUAUGGCGCAGAAGGGUUGUAGGACAGGAAAACGAUAUGGCACUGGACUUAUGGGACGAAUACAAGAACACUCGAAACUAAGGGUAGAUGUGAACCUAAUGGUAUACCUAAAUCUUUGAUUACCACUUGAUGAGAACAAGGCUGGCCUGAUCCUCCGAAAGGUUCUGGUAACUCUGGUGGAGACGAGACACAAAUCGAUCCGGCUUUCGAACAACAUGAUCCAAAACCCUACAAUUUUUUUAUUUUUUUGAUAUUUUUCAUUUAGUUAGGAGCACCGAAGGAGUAACCAUAAAAAAUUUGUGCUUAAACAAGUGAAAGACAUGGCCUGCGGACUUUUCUGAAGAUUGUGAAAAAUGUGAAAAGAACAUCGCGAGGUGAAAACUCAAAUUUCAGAGGUGAAUUUGGAGGUACUAAAAUUUUCAAACCUACCAAUGGAGGGGACGGACAGAUCCAAUUUUUUUUUCUGAUCGAUUUUGAUGUAUGGAACGUUGAAAUUGGAGUUCGUAUGCGAAAGUUAUGGCUAUUUUACGAACGCACUCUGAAUUAGAGGAUAAAACGGCGGUGGCUAGAAAUUGAUGGAAACGGUGGGGAAAAAGACAUGAACUGGACUCUAACAAGACCUAACCAACAACAAGACCUCAACCAGGACACAAACUCAACACUGUGGUCUCUAAAACUGAAAUAUGCAAAGGAUAUGGCGCGAAAGGGUUGUAGGACAAGAAAAUGAUAUCGCACUGGACUUAUAGGGACAAACACAAGAACACUCGAAACUAAGGGUAGAUGUGAACCUAACGGUAUACCUAAAGCUUUGAUUACGACUUGAUGAGAACAAGGGUGGCCCGAUCUUCCGAAAGGUUCUAGUAACUCUUGAUUUGGUGGAGACGAGACACAAAUCGAUCCGGCUUCCAAACAACACGAUGCGAAACCCUGCAAUUUUUUUUAUUUUUUUGAUAUUUGUCUUUUAGUUAGAGCACCAAAGGAGUAACCACAGAAAAUUUGAGCUUAAACAAGUAAAAGACAUGGCCUGCUGAAUUUUCUGAAGAUUGUGAAAAAUGUAAAAAUAACUUCAUGAGGUAAAAACUCAAACUUCGGAGGUGAAUUUGGAGGUUCUAAAUUUUUCAAACCUUCCAAUGGAGGGGACAGACAUAUCCAAAAAUUUUUUCUGAUCAAUUCUGAUAUAUGAAACGUUAAAAUCGGAGUUCGUAUGCGAAAGUUAUGGCUAUUUUACGAACGGACUCCGAAUUAGAGGACAAAACGAUCCGAAAGUGGGAACAAUUUGCGGCGGUGGCUAGAAAUUGAUGGAAACAGUGGGCAAAAACAAAUGAACUGGACUCUAACAAGACCUAACCAACAACAAGACCUCGACCAGGACACAAACUCAACACUGCGGACUCUGAAACUAAAAUAUGCAAAGGCUAUGGCGCGGAAGGGUUGUAGGACAGAAAAACGAUAUGGCACUAGACUUAUGGGACAAACACAAGAACACUCGAAACUAAGGGUAGAUGUGAGCCUAAUGGUAUACCUAAAGCUUUGAUUACCACUUGAUGAGAACAAAGGUGGCCCGAUCUUCUGAAAGGUUGUGGUAACUCUCGAUUUGGUGGAGACGAGACACAAAUCGAUCAGCUUCCGAACAACACGAUCCGAAACCCUGCAAUUGUUUUUCUAUUUUUUUUGAUAUUUUUCUUUUAGUUAGGAGCACAAAAGGAGUAACCACAGAAAAUUUGAGCUUAAACAAGUGAAAGACAUGGCCUGCGGAAUUUUCUGAAGAUUGAGAAAAAUGUGAAAAAAACUUCACGUGGUGAAAACUCAAACUUCGGAGGUGAAUUAUGAGAUUCUAAAGGUUUCAAAUCCACCAAUGGAGGGGACAGACAGAUACAAAAAAUUUUCUGAUCAAUUUUGAUAUAUGGAACGUUGAAAUCGGAGUUCGUAUGCGAAAGUUAUGGCUAUUUUUCAAACGGACUCCGAAUUAGAGGACAAAACGGUCCGAAAGUGGGAAAAAUUUGCGGCGGUGGCUAGAAAUUGAUGGAAAUAGUGGGGAAAAACAUAUGAACUGGACUUGAUAAAGACCUAACGAGCAACAAGACCUCGACCAGGACACAAACUCAACACUGUGGACUCUCAAACUGAAAUAUGCAAAGGCUAUGGCGUGUAAGGGUUGUAGGACAGGAAAAUGAUAUGGCACUGGACUUAUGGGACGAACCCAAGAACACUCGAAACUAAGGGUAGAUAUCAACCUAACGGUACACCUAAAGCUUUGAUUACCACUUGAUGAGAACAAGGGCGGCCCGAUCUUCCGAAAGGUUCUGGUAACUCUCGAUUUGGUGGAGACGAGACACAAAUCGAUCCGGCUUCCGAACAACACGAUCUGAAAGCCUACAAUUUUUUUUAUUUUUUUGAUAUUUUUCUUUGAGUUCGGAGCACCAAAGGAGCAACCACAGAAAAUUUGAGCUUAAACAUGUGAAAGACAUGGCCUGUGGAAUUUUCUGAAGAUUGUGGAAAAUGUGAAAAAACUUCGCGAGGUGAAAACUCAGACUUCGGAGGUGAAUUUGGAGGUUUUAAAGUUUUCAAACCCCCCAAUGGAGGGGACACACAGAUCCAAAAAAUUUUUCUAAUCGAUUUUGAUAUAUGGAACAUUGAAAUCGGAGUUCGUAUGCGAAAGUUAUGGUUAUUUUACGAACGGACUCCGAAUUAGAGGACAAAACGGUCCGAAAGUGAGAAUAAUUUGCGGUGGUGGCUAGAAAUUGAUGGAAACAGUGGGGAAAAACAUAUGAACUAGACUUUAACAAGACCUAACCAGCAACAAGACCUCGACCAGGAGACAAACUCAACACUUCGGACUCUGAAACUGUAAUAUGCGAAGGCUAUAGCGUGGAAGGGUUGUAGGACAGAAAAAUGAUAUGGCACUGGACUUAUGGGACGAAUACAAGAACACUCGAAACUAAAGGUAGUUAUAAACCUAAAGGUAUACCUAAAGCUUUGAUUACCACUUGAUUUGAACAAGGGUGGCCCGAUCUUCCGAAAGGUUCCGGUAACUAUCGAUUUUGAGGAGACGAGACACAAAUCGAUCCGGCUUCCGAACAACACGAUCCGAAACUCAGCAAAUUCUUUUUAUUUUUUUGUUAUUUUUCUUUCAGUUAGGAGCACCAAAGGAGUAACCACAAAAAAUUUAAGCUUAAACAAGUGAAAUACAUGGCCUGUGGAAUUUUCUGAAGUUUCUGAAAAAUGAGAAAAAAAACUACACGAUGUGAAAACUCAAAUUUUGGAGGUGAAUUUGGAGGUUCUAAAAUUUUCAAACCCGCCAAUGGAGGGGAUAGAUAGAUCCAAAAAAUUUUUUUGAUCGAUUUUGAUAUAUGGAACACUGAAUUCGGAGUUCGUAUGCGAAAGUUAUGGCUAUUUUACGAUCGGACUCUGAAUUAUAGGACAAAACGGUCCGAAAGUAGAAAAAAUUUGCGGCGGUGGCUAGAAAUUGAUGGAAACGGUAGAGAAAAACACACGAACUGGACUCUAUCAAGACGUAACCAGCAAAAAGACCUCGACCAUGACACAAACUCAACACUGCGGACUCUGAAACUGAAAUAUGCAAAGGCUAUGACAUAGAAGGGUUGUAGGACAGGAAAAUAAUAUGGCACUGGACUUAUGGGACGAACACAAGAACACUCAAAACUAAGGGUAGAUAUGAACCUAACGGUACACCUAAAGCUUUGAUUACUGUUGACGGUCCUUAAUGCUCACAUUUAACCAUCAACUAAUCAUAGAAAAGGAUCCAAAUGCAACCAACACCUAGACUUAAGGUUUUAUCUGACAGAAAUUCCACGAGUUUUGGUGUUUGUCUGUUUCUGCAGGGGGUUAUCAGGAAAUACGAAAGGAAGGCCCACACGUCGGGUUUACAUAGAGAUAUUAACGUGCCGCGCAAUUUUCUAUCAUCUAGAAGACUCCAGAAGCCACGGGACCGAACGGGAGACGUAACGGAGCCGGGCACUGGGCGCCCCCCCUCCCUUACUGGGCGCCCGCCCUCUCCCCUGGACCAAUCAGGGUGAAGUUCGGGGAUCGUGCUCCACCGACCUAAUACUUCAAGGAAAACCACACGAUCAAUGUCGGUUUGAUCCGACGGCCCAGAUUCACUUGAAGGGACUAUAAAACCAGACCCCCCUGGCCCCUGGAGAUCAUACCUCUUCUACAGAAUCAAAGCUAGGGUUUCAAUUCUUCAUCCAAGUAGAGAGGAUCCCUCUAGUUCUUCUAGUUCUACCUCUAGUUCAUCUAGAUCUAGUUCUAGUUCAUCUAGUUCUAGUUCUAGUUCCUCUAGUUCUAGUUCUAGUUAGUUCUAGUUGUAAUCUAGAAAAUAGGGAGAGAGAAGAGGAGAGCGGAGGAGGAGCCGGAUCUGUCGGAUCUUCCUCAACAUUGUACUUUUGCAGCAUCUGGUUCGUUCUUCAUCGUUCUCCAGGUUCUUAAAUUCAUAAUUCCUGAGUUCUUUAAUUACUUUUAUUUACAUUCAAGUUAUUUAUUGGAUUCCCGCUUGCAUCAAGUGCUCUAGUCUUUAUAACGCUAGAGUAGUAAUUAAUAGAUUAGACGUGGUGUUUAGUCUUGCGAUUACCUGGAAUUGCACCCAAUCCCACGGAUUGUUGUGGUAGCCUUAGGGUAGUGACAGCCCUAACGGUCGAUGUAUUCCACCUCGUUCGGAUCGGUGUUUGUAGGACCGUAGUCGGAGCUUCCUAGCCCCCUUCUCAUCUCUUUCUCUGGUUAGUGUUCUGAUGUCCCGAAAUAGAUAAUCUUGAAGUAAUUCUUGAUUCUUAGAUCAACUAGAGAACUCUCAGGAAACUUCCUCUCUUCCCAACAAAAAAUAAUUAUAUAGUUAUCCUUGGGCGAUCUUGAUUCUUAAUUAGUACACUCACGUUCCCUGUGGAAAAUCGAUACUCUGGAAUACUCCCGGGUGAAGGCUACAUCGGUAUCCGUGCGCUUGCGGAUUUUUCUGUUUGCGUUUAAAAUACCCAACAAGCUUUCUGGCGCCGUUGCCGGGGAACGGUAGGUGUGCUAGUUUCGAACCAAGUCGUCCGUGUAUCCUUUUUCUUUUCCUUUUUUAUCACACUCACCUUACUAUUUUCACCAUACCACAUGGAUUUCACUCUAAGCAUUAAUGAGCAUGGAAUUUAUUUCAUAGCCACUUCAUUUACUCCAUGCUCAUAUGCAACAUCUUCACAAUCCAUUGGUCUCUCCAACAUCACCACAUUCGAGAUCUCCAACCCCCUCUUACUUUCUAUUCAUAAAAACUUUAAAAGGGCGGUUGUCGAUGCAUAUGUCUAUAUUAAAUAUUGCAGAUCUCGUUGAGUUGAUCUUGAUAUAGGUCAGCGUUGGAGGGGAAACCACUCACCGACAUAAAUUGAUGGUUUCCCAAGGACAAGCUUAGCGUCCUAAAAUAAGCACUGAUCAGAUCGUAACAUAAGCUUUUAAUUAUUUGCAACACUACCUUGUGUAUUGAGCAUAUAAGGAUAAUUGUAAAAAUAUCCCUUCGGGUAUUCUUGUCACUAACCUUUGCAGGAUUGGAGCAAGAAGAUCGGAUGAAUGACAAGCACAAGGUAUGUCCAACCAAUCAUCAUACAACAUUGAAUUAAAUUCAUCCAAACUUGAAUUUUGCAAAAUUCUAGCUUGGGGGAGUACUUUACAUAAAAACAUCCUUUGCCAUGUUGCUAUGUUGGUUGUCCCUACCUUUGAGACAUGCUCAAUUGGUUAAAUACUAAUCACACUACUUCAUCUCCACUUGAGUAGAUCUCUAUAAAUGCUCUCAUGAUACCUUUAUUUGCUUUAGUAUAUGUCUAGGUUUGGAGUAGUUUCAUAUAUCUCUUAAUUAAGCAUGGUGCUUAGCUAGGAAUGAUGAUCUUACUUCCAAGGGAUUUUAAAUUAAGCAUGGUGCUUAGGUUAAAAUGCCCUCCUGAAUCAAAUUAGACAUGGUGUCUAGGUUGAUUUUUGAGCUGAUAGUAUGCUAUAGUAGAUAUGGGAUAUUUUGUUGGAUUAACCCCUGCAGGAAAACUUUCAAUAUCGACCUGGGAAGUCCUGAGAUAAACUCACAUUGGAGACAAAGAGAGAGACACAUAAAGUUUAACAAUUUACACAAGGAAGGCAUAGCUCACAAGAGAUGAUUCAUGGAGGGUGCCACAAACACGAUGCACAACCGCUAAGAAAGGAAAGCUUCCACAAGGUGAUACUGUACCAUCACUCUUCAAGUAAGGUAACAUCUUAAGGUACUUGACUAUCACUUCUAUAAGCUUUUCCUUGGUUCUGGCAUUCACAUGAAUAAAAGAGACAAACAUGUAUGAUUUACAACUUUAGAUUAAUCAACCCAAUCGAUUCAACAUGUUUAGUCUUUCUACCUUCGUGAUCCCACACUCCUAAUCAUAUAAGCUAAAACGUUGCACAUUCAAUCUUUGGAAGAUAUAAACAAAACAUAAGUAUACAUAGAUUAUCUUUCCAUUAGGUUGAGCGAUGUGAUCUGACAAAUGUUUUAAAUAUUACACUCAUGAUAUUAUUAUCCAUCAACUUGGUCUUGCUCAUUAUGCUUAAGGAUAGAGAAGAAUAAAUACACUUUUGGUUCUGUUGGUGUUUUCCACCAACAGGGCCCAUGCACUUGAUCUCUGCCUUGUCUCUAUGAGCAGGUACACUUUAAGCAAAACAUGGAAGAGUUUUACAACUCCCAGACUCCACCAAGUGAAGAACCUAGAUCUACGAGCACAAACACACUGGAGAGACUGGACACUCAGGCAAUCACUGCCCUAAGAUGCUUGAGGACGUAACUACUGGAGUAACCCAUGGAAGUAAUUACUGACCUUCUGCAGGUCAAGAGAGACAAUCCAGGACGCCCCGUCAUCCCGAUCUCCAUCAGCUUGCAGAUCAGACACUAAGUUUCCCAAAGGGAAUAUUGAAGAACCUCUGCGUCCGAGUUGGUACCUUGUACGCCCCAGCAGACUUCGUGGUGAUAGAGACUGGUACUGAUGAGAGGGCACCCAUCCUAGGGAGGCCAUUCCUGAACACCUCAGGAGCUGUCAUCUACGCUAGUGCUGCCAAGAUCAAUUUCUACAUCAAGGGGAGGAAGGAGACGUUUUCCUUCAAGAACAAGACUACACAAAUCUCAGAGCAAUCCCGACAUGAACCAAGGAAGAGGAUCAACAGGGGGAGCAGGAACAAGCAAAUGUGGACUGAGUCAGCUAAGAUGGUCACUGCAGCUCAACGAGGUCAAGAUCGUCGACUUAAGUCACCGUUCCUGACCAAAAAGGAUGCCGCAAUCACUUAACAGCUCCUCUAUGGAACCAUGUCCCUACAACCGACAUACAUUCAGCUCCAGAUGGCAGAUCAGACAUUCCGUAAGGUUAUUGUCAUGGGAGAAGACGAGUACAAUCCACCCGUCAUCCUUAGAAGACCGUUCCUCAGCACCGUUAAAGCAAUCAUCUACAUUGGAACCGGAGAAGUCCACAUGAACUUCCCCUCUGAGAAGGUACGUCGCUGUUUUACUGACCCUAACUAUAUAGUUGAAGAUUCUAAGCAGGUCAGGACAAGAAGAAGACGACGCAACCAUAACCAGAGGAGGAAAAUCAUAAAGGACGGAUGGGCAGAGUACGAAGGAGAAGUGCACCAAGGCAGGUGUGGAGAAAGAAGAUAGUUAUACAUGAAGAGUAUGCGCCGCCGGAACCACCGACUACGCCAUCCAGCGAAUCCCAGGACGAUUGAGAAAACGGAGAGUCCCGUUCGGAGGACUUAAAAACACCGAACGCCAUGCCAAGAGGUAAACUUGGUAGUUAUCUUUUUCCUUUCAAUUAUUUUAAAAAUAGUUUGCUUAGUUAAUGAGGUUUAUAUCAUCUUAAAAAGAAAAUAAAAAUGUUAAAAAUAGUAAGCCCCAUGUGAGUAUGCUCAUGGCAUAAAACCCAUAAGUACAUUCACUGUGGUGGCAUAAAAAUGAAAUAAAUAUAUUCCUGUCCUAUAAAAAUGAAAAUAUAAAAAUAGAUUUAUGAUCCCACUAAAAAGUGUAAUAUUUAUUGAGGAGACUCAACAUGAUAAAGGCUAGAUAUUUAUGCUAACACUUAACUAGUUCCACAAGCUUUGUUGUCUAUUUGAGCUCCACAGAAUUCAAGGAUCAAAGAAGACGGAGGACAUCCUAGUCGCCGUCAGGGUGCUGCUGACAUUAAAAUAUACCUUUGCCACCUGCUAGCUACAUUAGAAGAAAUUACAUCAAUAUCCAGCUUGGGGGAGAGCACCCCCAUUUAUCCAGCUAAGUGUUCUACUCACGUUUAUAUUUUACUCAAAUAAUAAAAAGAUGCAUGAUCAUAAAAACCCAAAUAAAGUUUUUGUGCUUAUAUAUAUCCUUGCUUAGUUUGCUAAAUAAAUAAAUAAAUAAAGUUUGCUAUGAACCCUCAUGAUAAGCUCUCACAUGGAAAUGAUGAAUAGUUGCUCUGCUAUGACUAGUUCUCAAAAUUGAAAUCUCUCUCAAGUUUAGGCCUAACUGUUAUUAAUUAAGAUUUGCUCUAAACCUGAACUUGUGGGAAGAGUACUUGAUCUGAAGUCUAAGUCGUUAACGGAUAUGAUAUAGGAAGGUUGAGCUGCUGUUUAUCUGUUCUUAGAGAUGCUAGAAUUCUGGAGAAUUUUAUCUUUGAAAAUCUUUAAAAUGUUGCAUGAUGAGUUCCUGUAUGAUGAGAGUUUAAAUUCCUACCACAGCCAGAUAUACAUGCUUGCUAGACUUUGAGCCACACAUUUACUUUUUACUACUUAUGAGCAUUGAGUGUGGUCAAGCUGUGUAGACCCUUAGGAGCUUGUCAUGUGGUUAAAUCAAGAUUCACUUGCACGUUCACUCACACAUGCUACUUCUACUCCGGAAGUACCAUCAAUAUAUAUCCAUUUCCAUCUCCAGAACCACCUAAAAAUAUUCUACUCCUAAUCCAGGAGAGAAUAGCCAAAAAUAUUUCUAUUUUUCCCUGUGAAAUAAAUGCUCAAGUUAUCUUGUUACUACCACUUGCUAUAUUAUCUCAUGAGAUGAGUGCUCUAAUAAAAAAGAAGAAAAAAAAUACGAGGAAAUAAAAAGGGGCAAGUGCCCGGAACCUCGAAAGAAAAAAAAAGUGUGACGAGAGGUAAAAAAUGGACAAGUGUCCGACAGUAGAAUUAGGGGUACAAGAUACCCACCCGAGAGAAAAGAAAAAGAAAAUAUAGAGCAUCUCAUUCUCCUCAAAAAGUUUCAAAAGAGCAAGAAAGGUAUGUAUCCUCUCAAAAGAGCAUAAGUAGAAUUAGACUUUCACCAUUGUUAUCACCAUCAUCACCAUACACCAUUCAUUCGCCACACAUGCACAUCUUGAUUUGACUUAUUGACUUGUUCUUCUGGAUCCAUGGUUUGACUAUGCAAUAUAUGUCUUGUAAGUAUGUAUUAGCUGUCUCCCACCUAUGAGCUCCAGAUAUCAAAACCUUAUUAGAGUAGGGUGAGAGAGAAGGCAAUGUCACUAUGCUUCAUACCAAAAAUACCACAUAUUUUGAGAGAAGGCAUAUACCAUUACUGCCUUGGUAAGGAUCCAGAAAUACCACAAAAGAGAGACUAGAGAGAGUCAUACAAGGAAUCUCUGAGUUUUAUUUGAAAAUCUGCAAAAACUCCAGAGCUAUAGUUAAUCGAAGAACAAGAGACAUGGCGCUUGACUAGACCGUUCUAUCUUUUAACUGCUUAAGACACAAGUGACGGUUGCAAGCCCCAUGGUGGAAGGUAAAAUGAGUAAGUUUAAAUCUUAAUAGUUACCCUAACCCAGAGAUGAGAUCUUUUUUAAAUGCAUGUGCAUUUUUAAGGCAUGAAACCACUGCAGAAACUUUUGAGUCUAUCUUUGCUCAGGGACGAGCAAAGGUUAAGCUUGGGGGAGCUUGUUGACGGUCCUUAAUGCUCACAUUUAACCAUCAACUAAUCAUAGAAAAGGAUCCAAAUGCAACCAACACCUAGACUUAGGGUUUUAUCUGACAGAAUUCCACGAGUUUUGGUGUUUGUCUGUUUCUGCAGGGGGUUAUCAGGAAAUACGAAAGAAAGGCCCACACGUUGGGUUUACAUAGAGAUAUUAACGUGCUGCGCAAUUUUCUAUCAUCUAGAAGACUCCAGAAGCCACGGGACCGAACGGGAGACGUAACGGAGCCGGGCACUGGGCGCCCGCCCUCCCUUACUGGGCGCCCGCCCACCUCUUUCCACCAAUCAGGGUGAAGUUCGGGGAUCGUGCUCCACCGACCUAAUACUUCAAGGAAAACCACACGAUCAAUGUCGGUUUGAUCCGACGGCCCAGAUUCACUUGAAGGGACUAUAAAACCAGACCCCCCUGGCCCCUGGAGAUCAUACCUCUUCUACAGAAUCAAAGCUAGGGUUUCAAUUCUUCAUCCAAGUAGAGAGGAUCCCUCUAGUUCUUCUAGUUCUACCUCUAGUUCAUCUAGAUCUAGUUCUAGUUCAUCUAGUUCUAGUUCUAGUUCCUCUAGUUCUAGUUCUAGUUAGUUCUAGUUGUAAUCUAGAAAAUAGGGAGAGAGAAGAGGAGAGCGGAGGAGGAGCCGGAUCUGUCGGAUCUUCCUCAACAUUGUACUUUUGCAGCAUCUGGUUCGUUCUUCAUCGUUCUCCAGGUUCUUCAAUUCAUAAUUCCUGAGUUCUUUAAUUACUUUUAUUUACAUUCAAGUUAUUUAUUGGAUUCCCGCUUGCAUCAAGUGCUCUAGUCUUUAUAACGCUAGAGUAGUAAUUAAUAGAUUAGACGUGGUGUUUAGUCUUGCGAUUACCUGGAAUUGCACCCAAUCCCACGGAUUGUUGUGGUAGCCUUAGGGUAGUGACAGCCCUAACGGUCGAUGUAUUCCACCUCGUUCGGAUCGGUGUUUGUAGGACCGUAGUCGGAGCUUCCUAGCCCCCUUCUCAUCUCUUUCUGUGGUUAGUGUUCUGAUGUCCCGAAAUAGAUAAUCUUGAAGUAAUUCUUGAUUCUUAGAUCAACUAGAGAACUCUCAGGAAACUUCCUCUCUUCCCACCAAAAAAUAAUUAUAUAGUUAUCCUUGGGCGAUCUUGAUUCUUAAUUAGUACACUCACGUUCCCUGUGGAAAAUCGAUACUCUGGAAUACUCCCGGGUGAAGGCUACAUCGGUAUCCGUGCGCUUGCGGAUUUUUCUGUUUGCGUUUAAAAUACCCAACAAUUACCACUUGAUGAGAACACGGGUGGCCCGAUCUUCCGAAAGGUUCUGGUAACUCUCGAUUUGGUGGAGACGAGACACAAAUUGAUCCGGCUUCCGAACAACACGAUACGAAACCCUACAAUUUUCUUUAUUUUUUUCAUAUUUUUCUUUUAGUUAGGAGCACCAAAGGAGUAACCACAAAAAAAUUGAGCUUAAACAAGUGAAAGACAUGGCCCGCGAAAUUUUCUGAAGAUUGUGAAAAAUGUGAAAAAAACUUCACGAGGUGAAAACUCAAACUUUAGAGGAUCUAAAGUCAAUCAAACCUGCCAUUGAAGGGCACAGACAGAUCCAAAAAAUUUUUCUGAUCGAUUUUUUUAUAUGGAACGUUGAAAUCGGAGUUCGUAUGCGGAAGUUAUGGCUAUUUUAUGAACGGACUCCGGAUUAGAGGACAAAACGGUCCGAAAAUGAGAAAAAUUGCGGCGGUGGCUAAAAAUUGAUGGAAAUAGUGGAGAAAAACAUAUGAACUGGACCCUAACAAGACCUAACCAGCAACAAGACCUCGACCAGGACACAAACUCAACACUACGGACUCUGAAACUAAAAUAUGCAAAUUCUAUGGCGUGGAAGGGUUGUAGGACAGGAAAAUGAUAUGGCACUGGACUUAUGGGACGAACACAAGAACACUCAAAACUAAAGAUAGUUAUGAACCUAAUGGUAUACCUAAAGCUUUGAUUACCACUUGAUUUGAACAAGGGUGGUCUGAUCUUCCGAAAGGUUCUGGUAACUAUCGAUUUGGAGGAGAAGAGACACAAAUUGAUCCGCUUUCGAACAACACGAUCCGAAACUCAGCAAAUUCUUUUUAUUAUUUUUUGAUAUUUUUCUUUCAGUUAGGAGCACUAAAGAAGUAACCACAGAAAAUUUAAGCUUAAACAAGUGAAAGACAUGGCCUGUGGAAUUUUCUGAAGUUUGUGAAAAAUGUGAAAAAAACUUCAUGAUGUGAAAACUUAAACUUCAGAGGUGAAUUUGGAGGUUCUAAAAUUUUCAAACCCGCCAAUGGAGGGGACAAAUAGAUCCAAAAAAUUUUUUUGAUCGAUUUUGAUAUAUGGAACAUUGAAAUCGGAGUCCGUAUGCGAAAGUUAUGGCUAUUUUACGAUCGGACUCCGAAUUAGAGGACAAAACGGUCCGAAAGUGGGAAAAAUUUGCGGCGGUGGCCAGAAAUUGAUGGAAACGAUGGGGAAAAACACACGAACUGGACUCUAACAAGACCUAACCAGCAACAAGACCUCGGCCAGGACACAAACUCAACACUGCGAACUCUGAAACUAAAAUAUGCAAAGGCUAUUGCGUGGAAGGGUUGUAGGACACGAAAACGAUAUGGCACUCGACUUAUGGGACGAAACACUCGAAACUAAGGGUAGAUGUGAACCUAACAGUAUACCUAAAGCUUUGAUUACCACUUGAUGAGUCAAGGGUGGCCCGAUCUUCCGAAAGGUUCUGGUAUCUCUCGAUUUGGUGCAGACGAGACACAAAUCGAUCCGGCUUCCGAACAACACGAUCUGAAAGCCUACAAUUCUUUUUAUUUUUUUGAUAUAUUUCUUUGAGUUAGGAGCACCAAAGGAGUAACCACAGAAAAUUUGAGCUUAAACAAGAGAAAGACAUGGCCUGCGGAAUUUUCUAAAGAUUGUAAAAAAUGUGAAAAAAACUUCACGAGGUGAAAACUCAAACUUUGGAGGUGAAUUUUGAGGUUCUACAAUUUUCAAACCCACCAAUGGAGGGGACAGACAGAUCCAAAGAAAUGUUUCAGAUAGAUUUUGAUAUAUGGAAUGUUGAAAUCGGAGUUCGUAUGCGAAAGUUAUGGCUAUUUUACGGACUACGAAUUAGAGGACAAAACAGUCCGAAAGUGGGAAAAAUUUGCGGCGGUGGCUAGAAAUUGAUGGAAACGGUGGGGAAAAGCACACGAACUGGACUCUAACAAGACCUAACCAGCAACGAGACCUCGACCAGAACACAAACUCAACACUGCGGACUCUGAAACUGAAAUAUGCAAAGGCUAUGGCGCGGAAGGGUUGUAGGACAGGAAAACGAUACGGUACUGGACUUAUUGGACGAACACAAGAACACUCGAAACUAAGGGUAGAUGCCAACCUAAUGGUAUACCUAAAGCUUUGUUUACCACUUGAUGAGAACAAGGGUGGCCCGAUCUUGUGAAAGGUUCUAGUAACUCUCGAUUUGGUGGAGACGAGACACAAAUCAAUCCGGCUUCCAAAUAACACGAUGCGAAACACUUCAAUUUUUUUAUUUUUUUGAUAUUUUUCUUUUAGUUAGGAGCACCAAACGAGUAACCACAUAUAAUUUGACUUUUAAACAAGUGAAAGACAUGGCCUGCGGAUUUUUCUUAAGAUUGUGAAAAAUGUGAAAAAAAACUUCACGGGGUGAAAACUCAAACUUUGGAGGUGAAUUUGGAGGUUCUAAAUUUUCAAACCCACCAAAAGCUAGGACACACAGAUCCGAAAUUUUUGUCUGAUUGAUUUCGAUAUAUGGAACAUUGAAAUUGGAGUUCGUAUGUGAAAGUUAUGGCGAUUUUACGAACGGACUCCGAAUUAGAGGACAAAACGGUAAAUGGGAAAAAUUUGCGGUGGUGGCUAGAAAUUGAUGGAAACGGUAGGGAAAAACACACGAACUGGACUCUAACAAGACCUAACCAGCAACAAGACCUCAAUAAGAACACAAACUCGACACUGCGGACUCUGAAACUGAAAUAUGCAAAGGCUAUGGCGCGAAAGGGUUGUAGGAUACGAAAACGAUAUAGCCCUGGAAUUAUGGGACGAACACAAGAACACUCGAAACUAAGGGUGGAUGUGAACCUAACGGUAUACCUAAAGCUUUGAUUACCACUUGAUGAGAACAAGGGUGACCUGACCUUCCAAAAGGUUCUGAUAUCUCUCGAUUUGGUACAGACGAGACACAAAUCGAUCCGGCUUCCGAACAACAUGAUAUGAAACCGUGCAAUUUAUUUUAUUUUUUUGAUAUUUUUCUUUUAGUUAGUAGCACCAAAGGAGUAACCACAGUAAAUUUGAGCUUAAACAAGUGAAAGACAUGGCCUGCGGAAUUUUUUGAAGAUUGUGAAAAAUGUGAAAAAAAACAUUACGAGGUGAAAACUCAAACUUUAGAGGUGAAUUUUGAGGUUCUAAAAUUUUCAAACCCGCCAAUGGAGGGGAUAGAGAGAUCCAAAAAAAUUUUCGAAUCAAUUUUGAUAUAUGGAACGUUGAAAUCGGAGUUCGUAUGCGAAAGUUAUGGCUAUUUUACGAACGGACUACGAAUUAGAGGACAAAACAGUCUGAAAGUGGGAAAAAUCUGCGGUUGUGGCUAGAAAUUGAUGGAAACGGUGGGGAAAAACACACGAACUGGACUUUAACAAGGCCUAACCAGCAACAAGACCUCAACAAGAACACAAACUCAACACUGCAGACUCUGAAACUGAAAUAUGCAAAGGCUAUGGCGUGAAAGGGUUGUAGGACACGAAAAUGAUAUAGCACUGGACUUAUGGUACGAACACAAGAACACUCGAAACUAAGGGUAGAUGUAAACCUAAUGGUAUACCUAAAGCUUUGAUUAGUAACUCUCGAUUUGAUGGAGACGACACACAAAUCGAUCCGGCUUCCGAACAACACGAUCCGAAACAUGCAAUUUUUUUUAUUUUUUUGAUAUUUUUCUUUUACUUAGGAGCACCAAAGGAGUAGCCACAGGAAAAUUGAGCUUAAACAAGUGAAAGACAUGGCCUGCGGAAUUUUCUGGAAAUUGUGAAAAAUGUGAAAAAAACAUCACGAGCUGAAAACUCAAAUUUCGGAGGUGAAUUUGGAGGUUCUAAAAUUUUCAAACCCACCAAUGAGGGGACAGACAGAUCUUAAUUUUUUUCUAAUCAAUUUUGAUAUAUGGAAUGUUGAAAUCGGAGUUCAUAUGCGAAAGUUAUGGCUAUUUUACGAACGGACUCCGAAUUAGAGCACAAAACGGUCCGAAAGUGGGAAAAAUUUGCGGCGGUGGCUAGAAUUUGAUGGAAACGGUGGAGAAAAAUACAUGAACUGGACUCUAACAAGACCUAACCACCAACAAGACUUCGACCAGGACACAAACUCAACACUGCGGACUCUGAAACUGAAAUAUGCAAAGGCUAUGGCGUGGAAGGGUUGUAGGACACGAAAACGAUAUGGCACUGGACUUAUGGGACGAACACAAGAACACUCGAAACUAAGGGUAGAUGUGAACCUAACGGUAUACCUAAUGCUUUUAUUACCACUUGAUGAGAAAAAGGGUGACCUGAUCUUCCAAAAGGUUCUGGUAUCUCUCGAUUUGGUGCAGACGAGACACAAAUCGAUCCGGCUUCCGAACAACAUGAUACGAAACAAUGCAAAUUUUUUCUAUUUUUUUUUGAUAUUUUUAUUUUAGUUAGGAGCACCGAAGGAGUAACCACAGAGAAUUUGAGCUGAAACAAGUUUAAGACAUGGCCUGCGGAAUUUUUUGAAGAUUGUGAAAAAUGUGAAAAAAAACUUCACGAGGUGAAAACUCAAAAUUUGGAGGUGAAUUUUGAGGUUCAAAAAUUUUCAAACCCGCCAAUGGAGGGGACAGACAGAUCCAAAAAAAAAUUUUGGAUCAAUUUUGAUAUAUGGAACGUUGAAAUCAGAGUUCGUAUGCGAAAGUUAUGGCUAUUUUACGAACGGACUACGAAUUAGAGGACAAAACAGUCCGAAAGUGGGAAAAAUUUGCGGUGCUGGCUAGAAAUUGAUGGAAAUGGUAGGGAAAAACACACGAACUGGACUCUAAUAAGACCUAACCAGCAACAAGACGUCAACAAGAACACAAACUCAACACUGCGGACUCUGAAACUGAAAUAUGCAAAGGCUAUGGCGCGAAAGGGUUGUAGAACACGAAAACGAAAAAGCACUGGACUUAUGGUACGAACACAAGAACACUCGAAACUAAGGGUAGAUGUGAACCUAACGGUAUACUAAUGCUUUUAUUACCACUUGAUGAGAAUAAGUGUGACCUGAUCUUCAAAAAGGUUUUGGUAUCUCUUGAUUUGGUGCAGACGAGACACAAAUCGAUCCGGCUUCCGAACAACAUGAUACGAAACCUUGCAAAUUUUUUUUAUUUUUUUUAAUAUUUUGCUUUUAGUUAGGAGCACCGUAGGAGUAACUACAGAAAAUUUGACCUUAAACAAGUGAAAGACAAGGCCUACGGAAUUUUUUGAAGAUUGUGAAAAAUGUGAAAAAAAACUUCACGAGGUGAAAACUCAAACUUUGGAGAUGAAUUUUGAGGUUCUAAAAUUUUUAAACCCGCCAAUGGAGGGGACAGACAGAUCCAAAAAGAAUUUUGGAUCAAUUUUCAUAUAUGGAACGUUGAAAUCGGAGUUCGUAUGUGAAAGUUAUGGCUAUUUUACGAACGGACUACAAAUUAGACGACAAAACAGUCCGAAAGUGGGAAAAAUUUGCGGCAGUGGCUAGAAAUUGAUGGAAACAGUGGGGAAAAACACACGAACUAGACUCUAACAAAGACCUCGACCAGGACACAAACUCAACACUGCGGACUCUGAAACUGAAAUAUGCAAAGGCUAUGGCGCGGAAGGGUUGUAGGACAAGAAAAUGAUAUGGUACUGGACUUAUGGGACGAACACAAGAACACUCCAAACUAAGGGUAGAUGUGAACCUAAUGUUAUACCUAAAGCUCUGGUUACCACUUGAUGAAAACAAGGGUGGCCCGAUCUUCUGAAAGGUUCUAGUAACUCUCGAUUUGGUGGAGACGAGACACAAAUCGAUCCGGCUUCCGAACAACAUGAUCCGAAACCCUACAAUUUUUUUUUAUAUUUUGAUGUUUUUCUUUUAGUUAGGAGCACCAAAGAAGUAACCACAUAAAAUUUGAGCUUAAACAAGUGAAAGAAAUGGCCUGUGGAAUUUUCUGAAGAUUGUGAAAAAUGUGAAAAAACUUCACGAGGUGAAAACUCAAACUUUGGAGGUGAAUUUGCAGGUUCUAAAAUUUUCAAACCAACCAAAAGCUAGGACACACAGAUCUGAAAUUUUUUUCUGAUCGAUUUUGAUAUAUGGAACGUUGAAAUCGGAGUUCGUAUGUGAAAGUUAUGGCUAUUUUACGAACGGACUACGAAUUAGAGGACAAAACAGUCCGAAAGUGGGAAAAAUUUGCGGCGGUGGCUAGAAAUUGAUGGAAACGGUGGGGAAAAGCACACGAACUGGACUCUAAUAAGACCUAACCAGCAACAAGACCUCAACAAGAACACAAACUCAAAACUGCGGACUCUGAAACUGAAAUAUGCAAAGGCUAUGGCGCGAAAGGGUUAGGACACGAAAACGAAAUAGCACUGGACUUAUGGUACGAACAUAAUAACACUCAAAACUAAGGGUAGAUGUGAACCUAACGGUAUACCUAAUGCUUUUAUUACCACUUGAUGAGAACAAGGGUGACCUGAUCUUCCAAAAGGUUCUGCUAUCUAUCGAUUUGGUGCAGACGAGACACAAAUCGAUUCGGCUUCCGCACAACAUGAUACGAAACCCUGCAAUUUUUUUUAUUUUUUUUGAUAUUUUUAUUUUAGUUAGGAGCACCGUAGGAGUAACCACAGAGAAUUUGAGCUUAAACAAGUUUAAGACAUGGCCUGCGGAUUUUUUUGAAGAUUGUGAAAAAUGUGAAAAAAAACUUCACGAGGUGAAAACUCAAACUUUGGAGGUGAAUUUUGAGGUUCAAAAAUUUUCAAACCCGCCAAUGGAGGGGACAGACAGAUCCAAAAAAAAUUUUUGGAUCGAUUUGAUAUAUGGAACGUUGAAAUCAAAGUUCGUAUGCGAAAGUUAUGGCUAUUUUACGAACGGACUACGAAUUAGAGGACAAAACAGUCUGAAAGUGGGAAAAAUUUGCGGUGGUGGCUAAAAAUUGAUGGAAACGGUAGGGAAAAUACACACGAACUGGACUCUAAUAAGACCUAACCAGCAACAAUACCUCAACAAGAACACAAACUCAACACUGCGGACUCUGAAACUAAAAUAUGCAAAGGCUAUGGCGCGAAAGGGUUGUAGGACACGAAAACGAAAAAGCACUGGACUUAUGGUACGAACACAAGAACACUCGAAACUAAGGGUUGAUGUGAACCUAACGAUAUACCUAAUGCUUUUAUUACCACUUGAUGAGAACAAGGGUGACCUGAUCUUCAAAAAGGUUCUGGUAUCUCUCUAUUUGGUGCAGACGAGACACAAAUCGAUCCGGCUUCCGAACAACAUGAUACGAAACCUUGCAAUUUUUUUAUUUUUUUAAUAUUUUGCUUUUAGUUAGGAGCACCGUAGGAGUAACCACAGAAAAUUUGAGCUUAAACAAGUGAAAGACAUGGCCUACGGAAUUUUUUGAAGAUUGUGAAAAAUGUGAAAAGAACAUCACGAGGUGAAAACUCAAACUUUGGAGAUGAAUUUUCAGGUUCUAAAAUUUUCAAACCCGCCAAUGGAGGGGACAGACAGAUCCAAAAAGAAUUUUGGAUCAAUUUUCAUACAUGGAACGUUGAAAUCGGAGUUCAUAUGUGAAAGUUAUGGCUAUUUUACGAACGGACUACGAAUUAGAGGACAAAACAGUCUGAAAGUGGGAAAAAUUUGCGGCGGUGGCUAGAAAUUGAUGGAAACGGUGGCGAAAAACACACGAACUGGACUCUAACAAAGACCUCGACUAGGACACAAACUCAACACUGCGGACUCUGAAACUGAAAUAUGCAAAGGCUGUGGCGCGGAAGGGUUGUAGGACAAGAAAAUGAUAUGGUACUGGACUUAUGGGACGAACAUAAGAACACUCCAAACUAAGGGUAGAUGUGAACCUAAUGUUAUACCUAAAGCUCUGAUUACCACUUGAUGAGAACAAGGGUGGCCCGAUCUUCUGAAAGGUGCUAGUAACUCUCGAUUUGGUGGAGACGAGACACAAAUCGAUCCGGCUUCCGAACAACAUGAUCCGAAACCCUACAUUUUUUUUAUUUUUUUGAUGUUUUUCUUUUAGUUAGGAGCACCAACGAAGUAAUCACAUAAAAUUUGAGCUUAAACAAGUGAAAGACAUGGCCUGUGGAAUUAUCUGAAGAUUGUGAAAAAUGUGAAAAAACUUCACGAGGCGAAAACUCAAACUUUGGAGGUGAAUUUGCAGGUUCUAAAAUUUUCAAACCCACCAAAAGCUAGGACACACAGAUCCAAAAAAUUUUUCUGAUCGAUUUUGAUAUAUGGAACGUUAAAAUCGGAGUUCGUAUGUGAAAGUUAUGGCUAUUUUACGAACGGACUCCGAAUAAGAGGACAAAACGGUCUGAAAGUGGGAAAAAUUUGCGGUGGUGGCUAGAAAUUGAUGGAAACGGUGGGGAAAAACACACGAACUGGACUCUAACUAGACCUAACCAGCAACAGGACCUCAACAAGAACACAAACUCAACACUGCGGACUCUGAAACUGAAAUAUGCAAAGGCUUUGGCGCGAAAGGGUUGUAGGACACGAAAAUGAUAUAGCACUGGACUUAUGGUACAAACACAAGAACACUCGAAACUAAGGGUGGAUGUGAACCUAACGGUAUACCUAAAACUUUGAUUACCACUUGAUGAGAACAAGAGUGACCUGAUCUUCCAACAGGUUCUGGUAACUCUAGAUUUGGUGGAGACGAGAAACAAAUCGAUCCGGCUUCCGAACAACAUCAUAUGAAACCGUGCAAUUUUUUUAUUUUUUUGAUAUUUUUCUUUUAGUUAUGAGCACCAAAGGAGUAACCACAGAAAAUUUGAGCUUAAACAAGUGAAAGACAUGGCCUGUGGAAUUUUUUGAAGAUUGUGAAAAAUGUGAAAAAAACUUCACGAGGUGAAAACUCAAACUUUGGAGGUGAUGUUUGAGGUUCUAAAAUUUUCAAACCCAACAAUGGAGGGGACAGACAGAUCCAAAAAAAAAUUUCGGAUCGAUUUUGAUAUAUGGAACGUUGAAAUCGGAGUUCGUAUGCGAAAGUUAUGGCUAUUUUACGUACGGACUACGAAUUAGAGGACAAAACCGUCCGAAAGUGGGGAAACUUUGCGGUGGUGGCUAGAAAUUGAUGGAAACGGUAGGGGAAAACACACGAACUGGACUGUAAUAAGACCUAACCAGCAACAAGACCUCGACCAGGACAAACUCAACAAUGCGGACUCUGAAACUAAAAUAUGCAGAGGCUAUGGCGUGGAAGGGUUGUAGGACACGAAAACGAUAUGGUACUGGACUUAUGGGACGAACACAGGAACACUCGAAACUAAGGGUAGAUGUGAACCUAAUGGUAUACCUAAAGCUUUGAUUACCACUUGAUGAGAAAAAGGGUGGCCCGAUCUUCCGAAAGGUUCUGGUAACUCUCGAUUUGGUGGAGACGAGACACAAAUCGAUCCGGCUUCCGAACAACACGAUCUGAAACCCUACAGUUGUUUUUUAUUUUUUUGAUAUUUUUCUUUUAGUUAGGAGCACCGAAAGAGUAACCACAUAAAAUUUGAGUUCAGACAAGUGAAAGACACGGCCUGCGGAAUUUUCUGAAGAUUGUGAAAAAUGUGAAAAAAACAUCACGAGGUGAAAACGCAAACUUCGGAGGUGAAUUUGGAGGUCCUAAAAUUUUCAAACCUGCCAAAGGCAGGGACAUACAGAUCUGAAUUUUUUUCUGAUCGAUUUUGAUAUAUGGAACGUUGAAAUCGGAGUUCGUAUGGGAAAGUUAUGGCUAUUUUACGAACGGACUCCGAAUUAGAGGACAAAACGGUCCAAAAGUGGGAAAACUUUGCGGUGGUGGCUAGAAAUUGAUGGAAACGGUGGGGAAAAACACACGAACUAGACUCUAACAAGACCUAACCAGCAACAAGACCUCAACCAAGACACAAACUCAACACUGCGGACUCUGAAACUGAAAUAUGCAAAGGCUAUGGCGCGGAAGGGUUGUAGGACAUGAAAACGAUAUGGCCCUGGACGUUUGGGACGAACACAAGAACACUCGAAACUAAGGGUAGAUGUGAACCUAACGGUAUACCUAAAGCUUUGAUUACCACUUGAUGAGAACAAGGGUGACCUCAUCUUCCAAAAGGUUUGUAACUCUCGAUUUGGUGCAGACGAGACACAAAUCGAUCCGGAUUCCGAACAACACGAUACAAAACCCUACAAUUUUUUUAUUUUUUCGAUAUUCUUCUUUUAGUUAGGAGUAACCACAGAAAAUUUGAGCUUAAACAAGUUAAAGACAUGGCCUGCGGAAUUUUCUGAAGAUUGUGAAAAAUGUGAAAAAAACUUCACGAGGUGAAAACUCAAAGUUCGGAGGAGAAUUUUGAGGUUCUAAAAUUUUCAAACCCCCCUACAACGGGGACAUGCAGAUCCAAAAUUUUUUUCUGAUCGAUUUUGAUAUAUGGAACAUUGAAAUCGGAGUUCGUAUGCGAAAGUUAUGGCUAUUUUACAAACGAACUCUGAAUUAUAGGACAAAACGGUCCGAAAGUGGAAAAAAUUUGCGGCGGUGGCUAGAAAUUGAUGGAAACAAAGGGGAAAAAGACACAAACUGGACUCUAACAAGACCUAUCCAGCAACAAGACCUCAACCAGGACAAACUCAACACUGCAGACUCUAAAACUGAAAUAUGCAGAGGCUAUGGCGCGGAAGGGUUGUAGGACUGGAAAACGAUAUGUUAUUGGACUUAUGGGACGAACACAGGAACACUCGAAACAAAGGGUAGAUGUGAACCUAAUGGUAUACCUAAUGCUUUGAUUACCACUUGAUGAGAACAAAGGUGGCCUGAUCUUCCGAAAGGUUCUGGUAACUCUCGAUUUGGUGGAGACGAGACACAAAUCGAUCCGGAUUCCGAAAAACACGAUCCGAAACCUUGCAAUUGUUUUUUAUUUUUUUGAUAUUUUUAUUUUAGUUAGGAGCACGAAAAGAGUAACCACAUAAAAUUUGAGUUUAAACAAGUGAAAAACAUGGCCUGUGGAAUUAUCUGAAGAUUGUGAAAAAUGUGAAAAAACUUCACGAGGUGAAAACUCAAACUUUGGAGGUGAAUUUGCAGGUUCUAAAAUUUUCAAACCCACCAAAAGCUAGGACACACAGAUCCAAAAAUUUUUUCUGAUCGAUUUUGAUAUAUGGAACGUUGAAAUAGGAGUUCGUAUGGGAAAGUUAUGGCUAUUUUACGAACGGACUCCGAAUUAGAGGACAAAACGGUCCAAAAGUGGGAAAAAAUUGCGGUGGUGGCUAGAAAUUGAUGGAAACGGUGGGGAAAAACACACGAACUAGACUCUAACUAGACCUAACCAGCAACAGGACCUCAACAAGAACACAAACUCAACACUGCGGACUCUGAAACUGAAAUAUGCAAAGGCUUUGGCGUGAAAGGGUUGUAGGACACGAAAAUGAUAUAGCACUGGACUUAUGGUACAAACACAAGAACACUCGAAACUAAGGGUGGAUGUGAACCUAACGGUAUACCUAAAACUUUGAUUACCACUUGAUGAGAACAAGAGUGACCUGAUCUUUCAAAAGGUUCUGGUAACUCUAGAUUUGGUGGAGACGAGAAACAAAUCGAUCCGGCUUCCGAACAACAUCAUAUGAAACCGUGCAAUUUUUUUAUUUUUUUGAUAUUUUUGUUUUAGUUAUGAGCACCAAAGGAGUAACCACAGAAAAUUUGAGCUUAAACAAGUGAAAGACAUGGCCUGUGGAAUUUUUUGAAGAUUGUGAAAAAUGUGAAAAAAACUUCACGAGGUGAAAACUCAAACUUUGGAGGUGAUGUUUGAGGUUCUAAAAUUUUCAAACCCAACAAUGGAGGGGACAGACAGAUCCAAAAAAAAAUUUUGGAUCGAUUUUGAUAUAUGGAACGUUGAAAUCGGAGUUCGUAUGCGAAAGUUAUGGCUAUUUUACGUACGGACUACGAAUUAGAGGACAAAACCGUCCGAAAGUGGGGAAAAUUUGCGGUGGUGGCUAGAAAUUGAUGGAAACGGUAGGGGAAAACACACGAACUGGACUGUAAUAAGACCUAACCAGCAACAAGACCUCGACCAGGACAAACUCAACAAUGCGGACUCUGAAACUAAAAUAUGCAGAGGCUAUGGCGUGGAAGGGUUGUAGGACAGGAAAACGAUAUGGUACUGGACUUAUGGGACGAACACAGGAACACUCGAAACUAAGGGUAGAUGUGAACCUAAUGGUAUACCUAAAGCUUUGAUUACCACUUGAUGAGAAAAAGGGUGGCCCGAUCUUC
rnacentral:lncRNA from 1 species